GUGCCACCGCGGUAAUACGUAGGGGGCUAGCGUUGUCCGGAUUUAUUGGGCGUAAAGAGCGUGUAGGCGGCCACGUAGGUCCGGUGUGAAAACUCGAGGCUUAACCUCGAGAUGUCAUCGGAAACCAUUUGGCUAGAGUCCGGAAGAGGAGAGUGGAAUUCCUGGUGUAGCGGUGAAAUGCGCAGAUAUCAGGAAGAACACCAAUGGCGAAAGCAGCUCUCUGGGACGGUACUGACGCUGAGACGCGAAAGCGUGGGGAGCGAACAGG
rnacentral:rRNA from 1 species